rnacentral:rRNA from 1 species
ACGCGAGGAACCUUACCAGGUCUUGACAUCCCAUUGACCGCUAUGGAAACAUAGGUUUCCCUUCGGGGACAGUGGUGACAGGUGGUGCAUGGUUGUCGUCAGCUCGUGUCGUGAGAUGUUGGGUUAAGUCCCGCAACGAGCGCAACCCUUGUUCUUAGUUGCCAUCAUUUAGUUGGGCACUCUAAGGAGACUGCCGGUGACAAACCGGAGGAAGGUGGGGAUGACGUCAAAUCAUCAUGCCCCUUAUGACCUGGGCUACACACGUGCUACAAUGGACGGUACAAACGGUUGCCAACCCGCGAGGGGGAGCUAAUCCGAUAAAACCGUUCUCAGUUCGGAUUGUAGGCUGCAACUCGCCUACAUGAAGCCGGAAUCGCUAGUAAUCGCGGAUCAGCAUGCCGCGGUGAAUACGUUCCCGGGCCUUGCACUCACCGCCCGU